rnacentral:lncRNA from 1 species
CAAUAAUUUAAGAACACUCUUUAAUCACUGAAACAUUCCUCUUUCAGCCCAGAAAAUACCGGCAUCAAUCCAGGUGCUGUGAUUUGUGAACUAAGGAUAGACUCCUGGGACACAUCCAGAUUGAUCCCCUUCUACACAUUCACUAUCCUCCAGGCAGGAAACACAGAACAUGAAGCUAGCCCAAUCUCCAACUUUAUCUUAUAUUUUUUUGAAAUAGUGUAUAUUUAAUCGGGUUGUAAUUAUCUUUUAAGUGAGACCUUUAUGAAGAUCUAGGAAGUUCUCUGCGA